rnacentral:lncRNA from 1 species
UUUGGGUGAGCUUUGGAGUUCAAUUUUUAGGUAUUUGAUAUAUCACCUUUGAGUGCUUUUGACUAUAUUUCUGAGCAUGCAGGAGCUGGCAUUAUAAUCAAAUCUCUUGAAGAUCACAUCAUUGUUGCUGGUUGUAUAGUGAUCAAAGCUUCAUCCCCUAUCCAAUUUGAAUGUCUUGCACAGUGGGAAGGCUUAGACUCCGGGAGCUGGUAAAGGUUGAAGACUGACACUCUCAAUAGAUUAUUUCACACAUCAAAAAAACCUCUGGUUUCACCCUUUAGAUGAUAAGAAACUCUUUGCUAGAUCUGUAAAUGCAGUUUGUGGGUCCUUCAUCCCAAGAUCUGCUUUUCGUUCAUCCGAAGAUCUGCAAAUGAGGAUGCCCAAGAUCUGUUCAUCCUAAGAUCUGCAAGUGAGGAUGUCCAAGAUCCGCUUGUAAAUGGGGUCAAUCCUCCACUUCAUCCCGAGAUCUUCAAAUGAGGAUGCCCAAGAUCCGCUUGUAGAAGGGGUCAACCCAGUUCAUGCCAAGAUCUUCAAAUGAGGAUGCCCAAGAUCAGCAAAUGAAGACACACAAUAUCUGCUUGUAAAAGGGGUCAAUCCCGUUCUUGGGAAAAUGAUAUCCCAUUCUCUUUUACAGCAAAGCUGAUUUUUUAUCAUCCUAAAGGCCUCCUUCUUUUUGUAAAUAUUAUUAAUUUUUUAUACCUAAAGUAUUGAUGGGAUGAUAAUGGAUGUUUUAAUUAUACUUUGAUAUUAGUGAUCGUAGUAGCAAAACUAACAAGGACAAGUAUUAAACAC